UACGAAGGGGGCUAGCGUUGCUCGGAAUCACUGGGCGUAAAGGGUGCGUAGGCGGGUUUUAAGUCAGAGGUGAAAUCCUGGAGCUCAACUCCAGAACUGCCUUUGAUACUGAGAAUCUUGAGUACGGGAGAGGUGAGUGGAACUGCGAGUGUAGAGGUGAAAUUCGUAGAUAUUCGCAAGAACACCAGUGGCGAAGGCGGCUCACUGGCCCGUAACUGACGCUGAGGCACGAAAGCGUGGGGAGCAAACAGGG
rnacentral:rRNA from 1 species